UUCACCUUCACCACUUUUCAGCUUGAUAAAAGUGACAUCUGUGAGAGCUCCAUAUGAAGAGUUUUUGAGAUCUGAAUGAGACUGAGAAAUGUAAAUGAAGGAGGAUGAAAAGCAGCUCAGAUGAAAUGCAGUGAAAGAAGAGAAAGAAAAGCGAGAAAGUAAAAAAAAAGCAAACCCAAAUGUGACUGAGACUGGCAAAGAGGAAGAAGGGGAGCCCAUGAAAAUUCAUUCAAGAUUAAUUGCAGAAACUGUUGAAAUCCGAAGUAUGAUUUUUUCAGCAUGUGUUAAUCUGUCAACAAAGUGGAGAGAUGACAUAGCCAGCAGGAAGGAGGUUCUGGGAAACUCAAGGUGCUUAGAGCUUGGGAAAGAAGGUGAAGGUCUG
rnacentral:lncRNA from 12 species